GGUAGUCCACGCCGUAAACUAUGAAUACUAGUUGUAUGCAGUCUCGACCCUGUGUGUAACGAAGCUAACGCGUUAAGUAUUCCGCCUGGGGAGUACGGUCGCAAGACUAAAACAUAAAGGAAUUGACGGGGAUCAGCACAAGCGGUGGAUCGUGUUCUUUAAUUCGAUGAUAAACGAAGAACCUUACCAGGGCUUGACAUCCAGGGAAGCACUACGAAAGUAGAGUGUGCCUUUUGGAACCCUGUAACAGGUGUUGCAUGGCCGUCGUCAGCUCGUGUCGUGAGAUGUUUGGUUAAG
rnacentral:rRNA from 1 species